AGCGUACACGGUGGAUGCCCUGGCAGUCAGAGGCGAUGAAGGACGUGCUAAUCUGCGAUAAGCGUCGGUAAGGUGAUAUGAACCGUUAUAACCGGCGAUUUCCGAAUGGGGAAACCCAGUGUGUUUCGACACACUAUCAUUAACUGAAUCCAUAGGUUAAUGAGGCGAACCGGGGGAACUGAAACAUCUAAGUACCCCGAGGAAAAGAAAUCAACCGAGAUUCCCCCAGUAGCGGCGAGCGAACGGGGAGCAGCCCAGAGUCUGAAUCAGUGUGUGUGUUAGUGGAAGCGUCUGGAAAGGCGCGCGAUACAGGGUGACAGCCCCGUACACAAAAAUGCACAUGCUGUGAGCUCGAUGAGUAGGGCGGGACACGUGGUAUCCUGUCUGAAUAUGGGGGGACCAUCCUCCAAGGCUAAAUACUCCUGACUGACCGAUAGUGAACCAGUACCGUGAGGGAAAGGCGAAAAGAACCCCGGCGAGGGGAGUGAAAAAGAACCUGAAACCGUGUACGUACAAGCAGUGGGAGCACAGAGCAAUCUGUGUGACUGCGUACCUUUUGUAUAAUGGGUCAGCGACUUAUAUUCUGUAGCAAGGUUAACCGAAUAGGGGAGCCGAAGGGAAACCGAGUCUUAACUGGGCGUUAAGUUGCAGGGUAUAGACCCGAAACCCGGUGAUCUAGCCAUGGGCAGGUUGAAGGUUGGGUAACACUAACUGGAGGACCGAACCGACUAAUGUUGAAAAAUUAGCGGAUGACUUGUGGCUGGGGGUGAAAGGCCAAUCAAACCGGGAGAUAGCUGGUUCUCCCCGAAAGCUAUUUAGGUAGCGCCUCGUGAAUUCAUCUCCGGGGGUAGAGCACUGUUUCGGCAAGGGGGUCAUCCCGACUUACCAACCCGAUGCAAACUGCGAAUACCGGAGAAUGUUAUCACGGGAGACACACGGCGGGUGCUAACGUCCGUCGUGAAGAGGGAAACAACCCAGACCGCCAGCUAAGGUCCCAAAGUCAUGGUUAAGUGGGAAACGAUGUGGGAAGGCCCAGACAGCCAGGAUGUUGGCUUAGAAGCAGCCAUCAUUUAAAGAAAGCGUAAUAGCUCACUGGUCGAGUCGGCCUGCGCGGAAGAUGUAACGGGGCUAAACCAUGCACCGAAGCUGCGGCAGCGACGCUUAUGCGUUGUUGGGUAGGGGAGCGUUCUGUAAGCCUGUGAAGGUGUGCUGUGAGGCAUGCUGGAGGUAUCAGAAGUGCGAAUGCUGACAUAAGUAACGAUAAAGCGGGUGAAAAGCCCGCUCGCCGGAAGACCAAGGGUUCCUGUCCAACGUUAAUCGGGGCAGGGUGAGUCGACCCCUAAGGCGAGGCCGAAAGGCGUAGUCGAUGGGAAACAGGUUAAUAUUCCUGUACUUGGUGUUACUGCGAAGGGGGGACGGAGAAGGCUAUGUUGGCCGGGCGACGGUUGUCCCGGUUUAAGCGUGUAGGCUGGUUUUCCAGGCAAAUCCGGAAAAUCAAGGCUGAGGCGUGAUGACGAGGCACUACGGUGCUGAAGCAACAAAUGCCCUGCUUCCAGGAAAAGCCUCUAAGCAUCAGGUAACAUCAAAUCGUACCCCAAACCGACACAGGUGGUCAGGUAGAGAAUACCAAGGCGCUUGAGAGAACUCGGGUGAAGGAACUAGGCAAAAUGGUGCCGUAACUUCGGGAGAAGGCACGCUGAUAUGUAGGUGAAGCGACUUGCUCGUGGAGCUGAAAUCAGUCGAAGAUACCAGCUGGCUGCAACUGUUUAUUAAAAACACAGCACUGUGCAAACACGAAAGUGGACGUAUACGGUGUGACGCCUGCCCGGUGCCGGAAGGUUAAUUGAUGGGGUCAGCGCAAGCGAAGCUCUUGAUCGAAGCCCCGGUAAACGGCGGCCGUAACUAUAACGGUCCUAAGGUAGCGAAAUUCCUUGUCGGGUAAGUUCCGACCUGCACGAAUGGCGUAAUGAUGGCCAGGCUGUCUCCACCCGAGACUCAGUGAAAUUGAACUCGCUGUGAAGAUGCAGUGUACCCGCGGCAAGACGGAAAGACCCCGUGAACCUUUACUAUAGCUUGACACUGAACAUUGAGCCUUGAUGUGUAGGAUAGGUGGGAGGCUUUGAAGUGUGGACGCCAGUCUGCAUGGAGCCGACCUUGAAAUACCACCCUUUAAUGUUUGAUGUUCUAACGUUGACCCGUAAUCCGGGUUGCGGACAGUGUCUGGUGGGUAGUUUGACUGGGGCGGUCUCCUCCUAAAGAGUAACGGAGGAGCACGAAGGUUGGCUAAUCCUGGUCGGACAUCAGGAGGUUAGUGCAAUGGCAUAAGCCAGCUUGACUGCGAGCGUGACGGCGCGAGCAGGUGCGAAAGCAGGUCAUAGUGAUCCGGUGGUUCUGAAUGGAAGGGCCAUCGCUCAACGGAUAAAAGGUACUCCGGGGAUAACAGGCUGAUACCGCCCAAGAGUUCAUAUCGACGGCGGUGUUUGGCACCUCGAUGUCGGCUCAUCACAUCCUGGGGCUGAAGUAGGUCCCAAGGGUAUGGCUGUUCGCCAUUUAAAGUGGUACGCGAGCUGGGUUUAGAACGUCGUGAGACAGUUCGGUCCCUAUCUGCCGUGGGCGCUGGAGAACUGAGGGGGGCUGCUCCUAGUACGAGAGGACCGGAGUGGACGCAUCACUGGUGUUCGGGUUGUCAUGCCAAUGGCACUGCCCGGUAGCUAAAUGCGGAAGAGAUAAGUGCUGAAAGCAUCUAAGCACGAAACUUGCCCCGAGAUGAGUUCUCCCUGACUCCUUGA
rnacentral:rRNA from 1 species